rnacentral:rRNA from 1 species
CAAUAGCGUAUAUUUAAGUUGCUGCAGUUAAAAAGCUCGUAGUUGGAUUUCGGGUGGGAAUGGCCGGUCCGCCGUUUCGGUGUGCACUUGCUACGCCCACCUUGCUGCCGGGGACGUGCUCUUGAGUUCACGCUCAGGACACGGAGUCGGCGAGGUUACUUUGAGUAAAUUAGAGUGUUCAAAGCAGGCCUACGCUCUGAAUACAUUAGCAUGGAAUAACACGAUAGGACUCUGGCCUAUCUUGUUGGUCUGUAGGACCGGAGUAAUGAUUAAGAGGGACAGUCGGGGGCAUUCGUAUUUCAUUGUCAGAGGUGAAAUUCUUGGAUUUAUGAAAGACGAACUACUGCGAAAGCAUUUGCCAAGGAUGUUUUCAUUAA